UUUUUGAGAGAGUUUUCUAAAGCAUAAUAAAGAGAGCAAUUCUCUAUAACAUCUUAAGUUCUUUUACAAUCUUACAAACUAGAAUGUCUUCAGCGACAUUGAAGGUAACAAGAUCAACCCAAACAAGAAAGAAAUAACAUGUUUUUGAUUGUAUUUAAACGGAGUUGAUUUAUGAUUAAUGAGUGGCAAUCUUCAAGGAUAUAUGGAAUCUUGGGACUUUUGGAUCUACUUUUGUAAAAAUCAAUGCCUUCAACUAUCUUUUUCCCCAUGUAGCAUUGUAGUUUUAGUAAAUUAUUAAGGCAUACACCCAAUCCAAUUUCAGAAAUAUACCCGAUAAUUAUAAGUGCAAAAAUAGCAAAUGCGUCAAAAAAGAAGAAAAGAGAACAAAAAUAAAAAAGAGAGGAAAAAGAGAAUCUUAUGUUAAAGAAGUCUCGUCCUCCUCCAUAGAUAUAUGAUAUAUCAAUGUAAGUUUAGACCCAAAGGACAUCUUUCUAGUUUUACUUUCUUUCUUUUCAAUGUACGUUUUCAAUUUUCAUAGUAGUAGUAGCUCACGUUCUUCCACAUGCCCUCAAAUCAUAACAAUUAAGAGAAAUGAAAAAAGGAAAAUUAAUAUUUUGUAGGAGGGAAUGAAGAAAUGGAGA
rnacentral:lncRNA from 1 species